GCGAGACUCGUGGCCAUUUUAAUGCAGAUAGGAAGGUAGAUGCGCGAGAAUGGAUGACCGCUACAAUUUUUUGAAGAAAGAAACAACUUAAAAACAAGAUUUCUCUAAAUUAUUACUGGUUGUGGUUUGUUAAAGUGUGGGAUAAAUUUAAUCUUUGGAAAAACUAUCUUUACAUUUUUAGUGCACGAGGAAAAAUUCUCCGUUUCACUUAGGAGCCUUACCAUCUCGACGCACGCGCCUUGCAGCACUCUCCCAACCAUACCGGAGGGUCACACGCCUGGAGAACCAGAACAGCCAACGCUCAUCAACCAUUCAGUCACAGGCCAACCGUUCCCUGAGCAGCCACCAGUGCAAGUUUUCCAGGCCAUGGCUGCAACAAGCUAGCGGCACGCCAGACGCGCCUGCAUACGUCAUGCGCCAGACAAGCCGCAGGAGUGAGCGAGGCCGGCCGCGCAUUUGAAGCUCGCGUGCUCGCCGACCCGUCUCCUUUGGACGUAGCCCGUUUUUUGGGCUCCCGGCAUUCUCUUGUGUUACAUCUGCAUUUCGACACGGCACCGCUGCACUACUGGACUACAGCAAGCUGAUGGCAUCCGGUGGAGCAUCGUACGGCAACGACUGCUGCUUACCUGGUGCCACAACUUUGAAUGAAUGCAGAAGAAGCCCGGAACGAGCAUUUAUAUACAGCAAAAUAAACAUUUCAUCAUUUCGGAAGAAGUCUUUCGUUUUCUUUAUGAAAUCGCACCUGACAAAUUCGGCGCAGUCUUGUAAAGGUCAAUCGCAAUCAUUUCUACUUAAUAAUGAAACGAUUCCACGCCAAAGCCA